rnacentral:rRNA from 1 species
UACGAAGGGGGCUAGCGUUGCUCGGAAUGACUGGGCGUAAAGGGCGCGUAGGCGGUUUGCACAGUCAGAUGUGAAAUUCCUGGGCUCAACCUGGGGGCUGCAUUUGAUACGUGUAGACUUGAGUGGGGAAGAGGGUCGUGGAAUUCCCAGUGUAGAGGUGAAAUUCGUAGAUAUUGGGAAGAACACCGGUGGCGAAGGCGGCGACCUGGUCCUUGACUGACGCUGAGGCGCGAAAGCGUGGGGAGCAAACAGG